GACGAACGCUGGCGGCGCGCUUAACACAUGCAAGUCGAACGGAAAGGCCUGCUUUCCCUUGUGGAUUGCGGGUACUCGAGUGGCGAACGGGUGAGUAACACGUGAGUGAUCUGCCCCCAACUUGGGUAUAAGCCUGGGAAACUGGGUCUAAUUCCCGAUAGGACUGCAGGGUGGUGCCUGUGGUGGAAAACGAUUUUCUAGUGGUUGGGGAUGAGCUCGCGGCCUAUCAGCUUGUUGGUGGGGUAAUGGCCUACCAAGGCGGCGACGGGUAGCCGGCCUGAGAGGGUGGACGGCCACAUUGGGACUGAGAUACGGCCCAGACUCCUACGGGAGGCAGCAGUGGGGAAGAUUGCACGAUGGGCGGAAGCCUGAUGCAGCGACGCCGCGUGGGGGAUGACGGCCUUCGGGUUGUAAACUCCUUUCGACCGCGAGGAAGCCACCUGGUUGGAAGGGUGGUGACGGUAGUGGUAGAAGAAGCACCGGCUAACUACGUG
rnacentral:rRNA from 1 species